rnacentral:rRNA from 1 species
GAUCCUGGCUCAGGAUGAACGCUAGCUACAGGCUUAACACAUGCAAGUCGAGGGGCAGCAUGACCUAGCAAUAGGUUGAUGGCGACCGGCGCACGGGUGAGUAACACGUAUCCAACCUACCGGUUAUUCCGGGAUAGCCUUUCGAAAGAAAGAUUAAUACCGGAUAGUAUAACGAGAAGGCAUCUUUUUGUUAUUAAAGAAUUUCGAUAACCGAUGGGGACGCGUUCCAUUAGUUUGUUGGCGGGGUAACGGCCCACCAAGACA